UACAGAGGGGCAAGCGUUAUCGGAAUUAUUGGGCGUAAAGGGCGCGUAGGCGGCUUUGCAAGUGGCGGGUGAAAUCCCUCGGCUUAACCGAGGAACUGCCUGCCAGACUGUGAGGCUUGAGACCGGGAGAGGUGAGUGGAAUUCCCAGUGUAGCGGUGAAAUGCGUAGAUAUUGGGAGGAACACCAGUGGCGAAGGCGGCUCACUGGACCGGAACUGACGCUGAGGCGCGAAAGCGUGGGGAGCAAAG
rnacentral:rRNA from 1 species